AUGCGUGGUCUUCAAAUAACUGGUACCUCGCUCAGUAAUCACCUGGUAGCUCUCAUUAUUAAGCGCUUUCUGACAUUUGUUUUCAAGCACCGCAAAUGGCUCCACGGAUUCAGCUCUUCACCCGCAGGUGGGUCCUUGGUGGCUUGCGCAGUGCUGGGUCCCCCUGUCACGCAUAGAGCACUCACUCACCCACACCUCCCUCACAUUCUGAUGGCACUGGUUUCGCAGCCACUCUCAGCUUGUUUUUUAAUCUGCUAAUCCUUUAAGGUCUUUUGGGACUCUGUGUGAACUUCCCAUCAUCUUCACUGAGCCAGAUUGUAUUCCAACCGCUGCGCUGAGCUCCAGAGGGAAGAGGGAGAUGAAAAUGCACAACCCAACCUCUGCAACACGUCACAGACCAGCUGGGAGAAAGAUGGUAAUAAGCCACUGGACAGCAUGACAGAUGAGGAUAGGGGCCAUAAGGACAUUUCAAAAUGCCCCACGGUGUUUUUCUUUUAAAAUUAACUUUAUCAAGGGGUAAUUUACAUAAAACAAAAAUGAAUCUUAAGAAACAGUUUGUGAAUUUUGGCAAAUAUAUAUGCAUAUGUAACCCCCACCACGAUCAAGAUGUACACUAUUUCUGUCAUCUCAGAACAUUUCCCAGUGCCACUUUCUAGAUAAUUUCCUCCACCUCUAAUCUCAGGCAGCCGCUGAU
rnacentral:lncRNA from 1 species